UGUCAGGAUUUUAAACUUGACUUUGGCAAUCCCCAAGGCAAAACAAGUGAAACUUGGCAUGGAGGUAUAGCCACCAUUUUUGAAAGUCCUGGUGAUGAAGUAUGGGGAGUAGUAUGGAAAAUGAACAAAAGCAAUUUAAGUUCUCUGGAUAGCAAGAAGGGGUUAAAAGUGGAAUGUAUGCCCCAAUAGAAGUUACUGUUUCAACUCAAGAAGGAAAAGAAAUAAUCUGUCGAAGUUAUCAGAUGACAAAUUAUGAGCGUGUUCCCCCAUCACCCCAGUAUAAAAAGGUCAUUUGCAUGGGUGCAAAAGAGAACGGUUUGCCACUGGAGUACCAAAAGAAGUUAAAUGCAAUAGAACCAAAUGACUACAAAGGAAAGGUCUCAGAAGAAAUUGAAGACAUUAUCAAAAAGGGGGAAGCAAAGACUCAUUAGAACUUAAUGGAAUAUAUCUACAUAUAUUUUCUCUAUAUGCUAAUACCUUUUUAACAUUUAGAACAGGGAUCUGAGAUGUAUUUCUGUUUAAUAUGUUUCAACAGUGUUCUGGAGGGUUAUCUCACUUGGGUGAUUCCUUGUUUUCAGACUGUAAAAAGACCAAGGCAGGAGUUAGACAAUUGAAAGGGGGGCUAUGAGAGGUGUUGGAAUGCAUGACAGUUAGGUGUGAGUACUCCUGUGAACCCUUAAAGUUACUUUAUUGAGUUUAUCUGAAGUGUAUUUUUGCUCUGUGACUGAAGAUAAAUUUGCAACUUAAUGAUGGUGCUGGUAAAUUGCUCAGCUCUGGGAUUUUUUAAAAUCAGCUUAAUAAGAGCAAGCAAACUGAAGAGACAAUUGAUUAUAAAAUUUUUUAAUUAUUUAAAAACUACUUAAAAAUUUUAAAAUUAUUUUAAAAUUUAAAAGAUGGCAUAAUGUUCUUAGAGGAAUAAAUGUAUUUGCGGUUUAAAAAAAAAUACAAUUGAUCCUUGCCCGUUGAUAAAAAUGGAAAAUCCAGAUAAGCAAAAAGAAAAAUAAUUACCCCCAGUAUCAUCAGACAGAACUGCUAUUACAAAUUUAGUUUCCAUUUCUCAAGCUGUUGCCUGUGCCUGUAUUAACAUAGGUGGGAGAGGAUACUUUUACCAUGUGAAGAAGGGUUUUAACCUCCCCGCUGCUUUCCUCUCUCUCCCUUGCCCCAGAUUUAUCAUCCAAGAAGUAGCAGUAUACUAUACUUGUCCACACAGAACCAAGUGGAUAGAAUUACAGAACAUGCCCCCAUCCUUGAGAAAUUCAUGCGCUCACAGAGGCUGAUAGGUAGCAGUUAUCAUUUAUUUUUGGAAACCAGUUUCCUUAGAUGUUUAUGUCCACACAGAUCAAGUUGACAUCUUAAAAUAUUGGAUUGGCCACCUCCCAACUCUUCAAGGGAGGGAUCAAGUGUGCGGAGCCUGCUGCAGUGCUAUGUUUUAGGUGUCUAAUCCCUUCCCCUCUGGAAGCCUCUCUCAGUCCCCCAGUCAGAAGAGGAGGACUCUGCAUUCUUGUAACCCUGUCUGUGUCACUUAAGUGGCCUCGUUUUGUUAUUUUUGAUAUCCACCUUCCCAACUACACGUGGGCCCUUCAAGGUCACACUUAGAAUCAUAGAAUCAUAUAUUGUUUAAAGGGGCCUUGGGCGGGGAGUAGGGGAGGAUGAACUGGGAGAUUGGGAUUGGCAUAUAUACUCUUCUAUAUAUAAAACAGAUAACUGAUGAGAACCUACUGGAUAGCAUGGGCAACUCUUCUCAAUGUUCUGUGGCCACCUCAGUGGGAAGGAAAUCUAAAAAAUGGAUGUGUGUGUGUGUGUGUGUAUAACUGAAUCACUUUGUUGUAGAGCAGAAACUAACACAAUAUUGUAAAGCAACUAUACUCCAAUAAAAAUGUUUUAAAAGGGGGGUGGGGCCUGGGUAGGUUCAGCUCACACACAAGGAGACUAAGGCUCAGAGAGGUUGGAUAACCCACCCAAGUCCACAUAGCUUUUUAGUAAACUAGAACCUAGUUCUCUUAAAAGUACUUUUAGGGACUUCCCUGGGAGUCCAUUGGUUAAGUCUUCAUCUUCUGAUGCAGUGGGUGCAGGUUUUAUCCCUGGCCUGGAGCUAAGAUUCCAUGGGCCUCCUAAAAAACAUAAAAUGAAGCAAUUUUGUAACAAGUUCAACAAAGACCUAAAAGAUGCUCCACAUCAAAUAAGUACUUUUUUAAGUCCAAUGGUGUUAGACAUGUUGCCAGAAGCCUGCAAGCUGUGAAAAUCAUUCAGUUUUGUGGAUUUUUUAAUGGUCAAAAAAAUUCAACCUCAGUACAUUUUUGAUCGUCCGGGUCUAUUCAUUAUACUUGAGGAGCCUCUCAAUUCCAUUGUUCUGUGUUUGCUGAUCAUGUUCUGUGUUCUGUCUUUUUAGUUAAAAAAAUAAAUAUUCUGUCUUGGCCUCUCAUUUUUGAUUUGCUGUUUUGUGCUGAAAGGAACCAUGCACAGAGUUUUGGCAUUUCUUGGUUACAUUCUGGGAGUCGGGCUGCUUUUGGUCCCAAGGGUGCUGGAGGUGGGGUUGAUGCGAUCUAAUCACUAAGAACUGGAAGCAGGAAUUGGGUCUCACCCAACUGGGUCCAGGAACUGGGUGGGUCUCAUGUGCUUCUGAGCGCCCACAAUUUGAACUCUCUCGGUAAAGCCUGUAGGGAGAUGGGACCGCAAAUUCAUGCUCCCUGCAACAGCGACAUCUGGCGGUCAUGGGGUAAUUUGAGAGGCUGAUCUGUGGGUUCUGACCGGAUGCCCUGAUUGUAUUUAUUAAUAGUAAAGCAAUUGCUUGUCACUGUGGAAGCCACUGCCCUUUCCCGGGGAACCCCGUUUCCUCCCAUGACACGCCCACCUCUAACCACCCAACACCCAGGAAGCAGCAGCUUCCUGCCUCCUGGGGGCCCUCUCCCCCCAGCCCCACUGGCUGCCUGGGUGCGAAGCAGU